AUAUUUGGAUCGCAAUAGUGGACAAUAAAUCAAAUUAAUGAUAAGCUAGAAAUUUUUGAAGAGAAUUAAAUGGUAUGGAGUUGUGAUGAGGUGAUUGUUUAUUAGGGAGCGAAACAGCGCACCGUCGACCUAGUUAGUCACUAAUAAAAAACUGCUAUUACUUACACAGUCCAGAAAUACGACUACUAAUAUAGAAUGCUGAUGGUGUAGCUACCCCGGAAUGCUUACGCGAGCUGAGGCAGCGCAGCAUCGACAGGGUCGCCGUCCGUCGGUCGAUACACCCGCGACAAACUGCCUCUCACAAUGAAACUGCACGAAUUCAAAAUUUAAAUCUCUACAUAUUUUUAUACCAAUAACCAAAUUACCAAAUUGAUGAAAGAAAUAGUGCCCUAUUCAAGUGUACAAAUUACACUAUUAAUUUUGUA